UGACUAGGUACCUUACUUGGGCGGUGAGGUUUAUCUGCUUGUUGGAGCAGAAACCUAAGAUUGAGUUACUGGUGUGGGAAUAUAUACCUGCACACGAGUCUCUGAAACUCGUGAAAAGAUCGGAGGAGGAGCAUUCCUCAACAAAGACGGUAUGGUAUCUAUCUUGGAGGAAGACCUAUUGGGAAAAGGAGCAGAGGCCCUCUAUGGGCUGAUUACACAAUCUUUUGGUAACGUUCCCAACAAAGAGCCUUACCAAGUUAGUAACAGGCAUUACUAAGGUUUCGAUCAUAAUUCACAGUUGGUUGCGGACAUCCCUAAGUUAGUGACGAUCAUACCAAAACAAAUAUCCCUGAUUCAGUAAUGUUGGUAUGCCGGAGCGGCGGGAAAUGUAAACACUGAAUCAGCUGAGCAUGUCAGACACGUGAUAUUCAGGAUGAACGCUCCACGGGAAAAGGGAACACCACUCACUUAUGAGCAAAAAAUAACUCUUGUAGGCCUCAUUAGAAAAAAAAAAAAUGAACCAGUAUUAGAUAAAAGAACCGAUCACGCCAGCACAGAAAACAAGAGAGAUGCGUGGAAACGUCACUGAUGCCUUCAAUGCAUACCCGCUGGUGGUUCCCUAAAGCACCGCUCAUCUGAGGCGCGCCUGGGAGUACACAAGGAACAAGGUCAAGGCAGGCCAAUUUAAAAAGGAAGUACGCGCAACUGGGGGAGGUCCACCCCCUACACCUCCAAAAUAUGAUACUCUGACAGAGGAGGUCAGGAGCAUAAUUGCCUUUGAGUUAAACUGCAGUGAAAUGCAGUACCACAAUGAGCUUUCACACCUGCCACCUAGCCUCACACCAUAAACUUAUGUUACCUCGCUCAUUCUGCUGCAAGAAGGUGAAGUUGAAUGGAUUGUGGAUGAAGAAGAGGCUGAGGAACUCUCCCAACUGACUGUCAGCCAGAUGUCAUUAAAUAAGCAAUCUCUACAGGAGCAGUUAUGUGGUAGUCUGACACCAAGUCACACUACCAGCAGAAGGAUGGGUAAAAAAAAAAAAAAAAAAAAAAACUGGUAAGAGACGAAAUCCAUUUAAUGUGAGUGGCAACACUCAUGAAGAAUAAAUGAAAAAAAUUCUGCAAAAUAAUGCUGAAAAGCUUGAAGCACAGAUUAAUGCUUUACAAAGCAUAGGGACAAUGUGUGCUGCUGUUCCUAACAUGUGUGCCAAAGUGAUUGAAGAUAUUGAUUAAAAAAAAAAAAAACACUGAACACACACACACACACACACACACACACACACACACA